CGUAGGGGGCAAGCGUUGUCCGGAAUUAUUGGGCGUAAAGAGCGCGUAGGCGGUCCGGUAAGUCGGUUGUGAAAGUCGGGGGCUCAACCCUCGGAUGCCGAUCGAUACUGUCGGGCUAGAGUCCGGAAGAGGCGAGUGGAAUUCCUGGUGUAGCGGUGAAAUGCGCAGAUAUCAGGAGGAACACCAAUGGCGAAGGCAGCUCGCUGGGACGGUACCGACGCUGAGGCGCGAAAGCGUGGGGAGCAAACAGG
rnacentral:rRNA from 1 species